CUCCACUUCCACUGCACAGCUCAGAGCCAACGCGGCCCGGCCCCACCAGCCUCCAGGACCAUGGCCAACCUCGAGCACACCUUCAUCGCCAUCAAGCUGGAUGGCGUGCAGCGUGGCCUGGUGGGUGAGAUCAUCAAGUGCUUCGAGCAGAAGGGAUUCCAUCUCGUGGCCAUGAAGUUCAUUCGGGCCUCUGAGGAACACCUGAAGGAGCACUAUGCUGACCUGAAGACCGCCCAUUCUUCCCUGGACUGGUGAAGUACAUAAACUCAGGCCCUGUUGUGGCCAUGGUCUGGGAGGGGCUGAAUGUGGUGAAGUCAGGCCGAGUGAUGCUUGUGGAGACCAAUCCAGCGGAUUCUAAGCCAGGCACCAUUCGUGGGGACUUCUGCAUUCAAGUUGGCAGGAACAUCAUUCGUGGCAGUGACUCAGUAAAAAGUGCUGAAAAAGAAAUCAGCCUGUGGUUUAAGUCCUGUGCUUAUGACUGGGUCUAUGAGUAA